rnacentral:rRNA from 1 species
GAUGAACGCUGGCGGCGUGCCUAAUACAUGCAAGUCGAGCGAACGGACGAGAAGCUUGCUUCUCUGAUGUUAGCGGCGGACGGGUGAGUAACACGUGGAUAACCUACCUAUAAGACUGGGAUAACUUCGGGAAACCGGAGCUAAUACCGGAUAAUAUUUUGAACCGCAUGGUUCAAAAGUGAAAGACGGUCUUGCUGUCACUUAUAGAUGGAUCCGCGCUGCAUUAGCUAGUUGGUAAGGUAACGGCUUACCAAGGCAACGAUGCAUAGCCGACCUGAGAGGGUGAUGGGCCACACUGGAACUGAGACACGGUCCAGACUCCGACGGGAGGCAGCGGUAGGGAAUCUUCCGCAAUGGGCGAAAGCCUGACGGAGCAACGCCGCGUGAGUGAUGAAGGUCUUCGGAUCGUAAAACUCUGUUAUUAGGGAAGAACAUAUGUGUAAGUAACUGUGCACAUCUUGACGGUACCUAAUCAGAAAGCCACGGCUAACUACGUG